GCGUCGUUAGUCAGCGCCGGAAAAACUUCCGGCAUUCGCGGCGCCUAGCGGUCAGGCUUUUUGGCAGAUGUGAAGUGCGCCGAUAGACUUGUACGGGUGACCAUUGUCUGCCACCGCGGAUGGCGAGGGACCUAAUAGGGCCGGCGCUGCCGCCUGGCUUCAAGAACCGUGAGACAGCAGAGGAAGAGGAGCGGGACCCGAGCCCUGUUGCAGGACCCGCUCUGCCCCCUAAUUAUAAAAGCAGUAGUUCCGAUUCAUCAGACAGUGAUGAAGACAGUAGUUCUUUGUAUGAAGAAGGAAAUCAAGAAUCCGAAGAUGACACUGGUCCACCUACAAGAAAACAGAAGCGAAAUCAGGAUGAUGAUGACGACGACGACAACGACGACGAUGAUGAUGAUGAUGAUGGGUUUUUUGGACCUGCCCUUCCUCCUGGAUUUAAAAAGCAGGAUGAUUCUCCUCCAAGGCCUAUAAUAGGUCCUGCUUUGCCCCCUGGUUUCAUUAAAUCUUCGCAGAAAAGUGACAAAGGCAGAGAUGAUCUAGGACAAGUAUCAUCACACUUCAACUCUCAGGAAACGGAUAACAGUGAAGAUGAGGACAUUGUUGGACCAAUGCCUGCAAAGGGACCUGUUAACUAUAGUGUGACAACAGAGUUUGAAAAAAGGGCCCAGAGAAUGAAAGACAGACUAACUAAAGGAGAUGAUGAUUCAUCUAAACCAAUUACAAGAGAAUCAUGGAUGACUGAACUUCCUCCAGAAAUGAAAGACUUUGGUCUUGGGCCAAGAACCUUUAAAAGAAGAGCUGAUGAUAAAUCUGGAGAUCGAUCAGUCUGGACAGAUACUCCAGCUGACCGGGAAAGGAAGGCUAAGGAAACACAAGAAACAAAGAAGUUGUUCAAUAAGGAUGAGGAAUAUACAUUUUCAGGAAGAGAUAAGAGAUUGGCUGAGCAGGUGUCCUUAUACAAUGAAUCAAAAAGAUCAGAAUCUCUUAUGGAUAUUCAUCAUAAAAAAUUAAAGAGUAAGGCCACUGAAGAUAAAAAUAAGCCCCAAGAGAGAAUACCAUUUGACCGUGAUAAGGAUCUCAAGGUUAAUCGAUUUGAUGAUGCUCAGAAAAAAGCCCUAAUAAAGAAAUCUAGAGAACUGAACACCAGAUUUUCACAUGGCAAAGGCAAUAUGUUUUUAUAACUGCCAAGAGUUGAAAAGAUGCCCCCACAUACCAUUUCUGCACUGCAGCUCACCAUGGACUGAACAUUCUGAAACUUUGGGCCAAAAUCUUUAAAUUGAAGCUUGCCAACCUUCGGAAUGUCAACCACAAACAUCAUGUAGAGAACCCAGAUGAGACAGUUUCAGUGCCUGCGGGCUGACCUUUCCCAUGUGGUAGAGAACACAGCCAUGAACAAGCCUGAACUUAACAUCUUCUUCAGCCACACCGAGGAGACUGGCCCUUAUUUCCAUUUCAGUUGGAAAACUCCCAAGGAGACAACUUGGCCCUAUUCAGCUGACCUUUGGGCUCUGGUGCCUGCUGCCCCCGGACCUUGCACGAACUCCAUGGUCCGUACUAAGGCCGUGACUUGUGUCAGAGGCACCAUCUUCUCCCAGGACCCAGAGAGUUCUGGUGACGUGCACGCUCCCUGCAGCAGUGUGCCUAGAAAAUAUGGCUGCUAACAAAUGAGCAUCUCCAGAGGCGCUUCUACCACUAUACAUUUCACAAUUCCAUUUUUCCAGAAUGGCGGAGCUGUACCUGUAGCUCCCCAUGUAUGUCAGUAGCACCUCCAAAGAUGAACCCCAAGCACGCUCCAACAAGGUUGUAAGAGACCUAGAUAGCUGCUGCAGGAGAGACAGACACACUCUCCUGGGGCCUGCCAACAGCCCUGCCCACCUGUCCAGGGAGAAGGACUUCACGUCCUAGUGAAGGCAGGAGACAAUGGGAGUGGAAGCCUUGUCUUCCUGGAAGCAGGCGAUUUGCACCUCUCGAAAGGAGCUGUAAUACCUGAAUCCUGAGAUACGGAUCUCGGGACCUGCCCUUCUGAGUCUGCUGGAAAGAAAGGUGACCAAAAACAGCCCUUCCUUGAAGACUGUGCCAAGCAUAAUCCUCUCUGUCUCCCAGCCAAAGUAUAUGAAUGUGAGAGCUGUGUGUUGAGAUUUAAGUUUCACCCUCUAAAAAUAAUGAUCCCAGGGAGGACUCAGGCUCGGGUCAGCUGCCCACCCUCGGACCAAAGAACUCUGGAGAAGAGAAGGCAGUCUUGCUCUAGUUCAUGUUUGGAGCCCACCAGACUGGAAUGGGGGAAUGUGUUAAAUCAAAAUAAAGUGGGUACUGUUAUAUUAAAGUGGGCAUGAUGGCACAUACCUGUAAUCCCAGCUACUUAGGAGGCUGAGGCAGGAG